UACAGAGGGUGCAAGCGUUAAUCGGAUUUACUGGGCGUAAAGGGCGCGUAGGUUGUUGCGUAAGUGAGAUGUGAAAUCCCCGGGCUUAACCUGGGACGUGCAUCUUAGACUGCGUAACUGGAGUGUAGUAGAGGGUAGUGGAAUUUCCGGUGUAGCGGUGAAAUGCGUAGAUAUCGGAAGGAACACCAGUGGCGAAGGCGGCUACCUGGACUAACACUGACACUGAGGCGCGAGAGCGUGGGGAGCAAACAGG
rnacentral:rRNA from 1 species